rnacentral:rRNA from 1 species
UACAGAGGUCCCAAGCGUUGUUCGGAUUCACUGGGGCGUAAAGGGUGCGUAGGUGGUUGGGUAAGUCUGAUGUGAAAUCUCCGGGCUCAACCCGGAAAUGGCAUUGGAUACUAUUCGGCUAGAGGGUUGGAGGGGGGGACUGGAAUUCUCGGUGUAGCAGUGAAAUGCGCAGAUAUCAGGAGGAACACCGGUGGCGAAGGCGGUUCUCUGGGCAUGUCCUGACGCUGAGGAGCGAAAAGUGUGGGGGAGCGAACAGG